UACAGAGGUGGCAAGCGUUGUUCGGAAUUACUGGGCGUAAAGGGCGCGUAGGCGGCCUCCUAAGUCGGACGUGAAAGCCCCAGGCUUAACCUGGGAACUGCGUCCGAUACUGGGAGGCUUGGAUUCGGGAGAGGGAUGUGGAAUUCCAGGUGUAGCGGUGAAAUGCGUAGAUAUCUGGAGGAACACCGGUGGCGAAGGCGGCAUCCUGGACCAAUAUUGACGCUGAGGAGCGAAAGCCAGGGGAGCAAACGGG
rnacentral:rRNA from 1 species